AAAAGACGUUAGUCAAGCCACGAGACAAACGAAACAGCACGUAUCUAUACGUAUACACAUGUCUAUUGAAAUUUAAAUAUCCUCCGGAGUCUCGUUUUGAAUUGGUCCGGGUGACCAAGUGGUUAUGUCCUCUGCAAACUUACUCAUCAUAAGGACCCACCACUAUGAGACUCACUGGCUUAUCCAAUCUUAAUGCAAGCUCCGCUUGACGUGGGUUACUCGUCUCCAGGGUACAGACUCUAGGUGUGAGUUUCCCUUAUUACUGCAGCAAGUACUCAUCCUCGAGGAGAUACGCGUUGCUGAAUACUACAAACUCGGUAAAACUUCGGUUGAUAAGACAGACCUGUAACAAACUUAUAUGGUGCUGUAUAGUACAAGAGUAAAUCAGGUUGCAUGUCGAGAUAUUGCCAUUAGAGAGGCAAAUACCUACUCAAGGGCCACUAAUUUCCAUUCACGCUGUCGCCCAUACGUUCCAUUCCUACGGAUAUGUCUGCCGAUCCUACUCAUUAACGUCUAUCCACAGUCGUGGAACGUGCAGCUGGAUGCUGCAAUCUUCUAUGACGUGGAUGCAAGGUAAACUUGCAAUUACAAUAACACGCAAGUGAUUGAGAACCUCUGAAAAGUAUCGACAGAGUCGCGAAUACACAUAGCAGGGCCCGCAUAUCUAUGUUUCAGGAGGAUGGUUGUUUUUCCAUUCGAACUCCCUUUAAAGGUCGAUACGCAGGAAACGUACCGGCGACACAUAUAUGUAUAUGCACCACGUAAGGACGUGGACUAAGCCAUAUGACUCACCCUUGGAGUUCCUUUUUAGAAAUACACAACAUCAACUCAUUCUAAUAUCCAGCAGAUUCAGUUUGAAUCCGGUACUACCUUAUCAUGGCACCACCAGAACGAAGGUCGAGCAUCAAGGUUGGAUCGAUGCUGACUAGGUAAAAAAAAAAAAUAAAAGAGUACAGGAUCAACCGAAAUAAAACAGAAGAACCCGGAGACACGAGGAGUGAAAAGAGGGUGAGAUACUCGAACAAGUGUGUAUUAUGAGUCAUGUAAUCGAGUUGGGGUGUUUCCACCCUCCUUCUCUAUCGAUUUCCUACAUUUCUCUGUACUCACGCACCUAGUCUACUCCUGGAGCAACACUACGGGCUACGAGUGUCCAUUAAGUCUUCCGCAAAGGAAAUCUCGAGUACAAAUCAAAGCGGAUAAGAAGAAACAAAGGUUUACACUUUGCAGGGACUUAGGAAACUCGUCAAAGAAAACUAUGUAUACCUAACCGACCGGUUUUGUAGGAAAAAUCAGCAUAUAUAUACACUACUGUACAUACAAUAGGCAUGGAGCUUAAAGUUCACACAACGACGAGAAGGUUAGAGUCAUUUAGGAUAAGAAGAUGCUAAAGAUAAAAAUUGGAAUUUCAGGGACGCAAUCUGGUUUUUGAAAAGGCCCUGCCCUUGCCACGCCUUCUCAGCCACCUGGCAUUCUUGUCCAAGUCCCAUUCCUAUGAACGUAACGCACCAGGAGUCACCGUGCCCAGACGUACCCGUCGCUCACUACCAGUUCAUCCACUUUGCCAUGGGAAUGAGCUAAGCGUGAAUUCGAGGUGAAUCAGGUAAUCCUGUUAACAGCCAGUGCUGUCUCUAAAGGUGAAUAGGACGUCAGCGUGUGAAUCCUUCACGGAAUGUUGACCCAGGUCCGGGAUACCUCGGACGUUGUCUUUUACGUUAAGCAGCGGUAUAGUUCACAUAUGAUUAUCAGAGUCUACCCAGCACUGAAAAGACUUAAGCAAAACAAGCGGCAAGAUAAGUAAUGUGAAGGAAUGUAAUUUUUCAGUAAAAAGAAGAAAAACAACCUACAAAAGGAAUUCCUAUGCUCGCAUGGAAUAUUAUCAGCGUCAAACAAAUUUAUAUACUAAUUAGGAUCGGUCAUAUAUAUAUAUAUUUUUUCUUCUCUAAUCGCGCUGAUAAACUAACGAUAACGUCAGAGCAACGACACCGAUCCGACGUACGCGGAGUAUCGGCGAAGAAUUUCAAUGAAGUUUUCUUGGAAGAUUCCAUUGUGAGAAAGCACUUUCGCACGAUGCUCCGAUUAAGAGAAACAAAACUAUAGCAAUUUAUCGCUAUCUCAUUGUAUUGAAACUCUCCCGGUUAUCAAUGGGCUCCGGUAACCUUAAGCGACCCAGAGGAAUGAUUCAUCCGGUAUAAUUCGUUAAAGGCACCAAGUGACUCAUCCGGGAAAAGAUUUGUCAUCGGUCUAACGAAAAAGUAAUAUCACUCAGCUAAAAGUAAAUUCUUAAGGGAAAAACGAAGAAGCAGUAAACAAAGAACCAAGGACAAAAAUUAUCGGUCCUUGCUAUCGCAAGGUCCCAGAUAAAAUGUACCUAAACCAAUAUGAGAUCCUCGAGAGUUACUCUGAUUUCCUCUACAAGGUAUACAGCACUGCGUACAGCCUCGUCGUACACCUUGUCAAUUGUUUGUACAGCUGUCAAAUUUAUGUAACUUUAAAGCUCUUUUACAGAAAAACUCCAGCGUUACGUAACCUGAAGAUAGAUGGGAAUCAUUGCUGGUGCCAUCGCGAGCAAACGUAUGUGCGCCAGUGAGCGGUACCCAUAAUUAUUUAGCCGACUCGCGAGGACUCGGGUCAAUAAUUUGCAAACUCGUCUAUGUGCACGAGAGAGUUACGCAGACAGAAGCGUAACGCGAAUUACUGUGGGUAGCUGGGAAUUGUUCCUCCGCGCUUUCAUAAUAUUUACAGCCAGCUUUCCUUCAGUUUAGUCAGGGUCGGUGUGUUCUGGCCGCCUGUACGCGUAAUUCCCAGCGAGCAGCAUCUAUGGCAAUUCGCGAGGUCAUGGUAGAUUAAUGAAUUUGAGAAUAUGAAGAAACCAAAAAAAAAAAAAGAACAUACGAGACAAAGAUCAGAAGAAUUUUUCCAGCAUCC